AUUAGAUACCCCCGUAGUCCUAGCCGUAAACGAUACUCGCUAGGUGUCGGCCACGGUGCGACCGUUGUCGGUGCCGUAGGGAAGCCGUGAAGCGAGCCACCUGGGAAGUACGGCCGCAAGGCUGAAACUUAAAGGAAUUGGCGGGGGAGCACCACAACGGGUGGAGCUUGCGGUUUAAUUGGAUUCAACGCCGGAAAUCUUACCGGGACCGACAGCAAUAUGAAGGCCAGGCUGAAGACUUUGCCGGAUUAGCUGAGAGGUGGUGCAUGGC
rnacentral:rRNA from 1 species